AUUUUUUGAGGGGUAAAAGUUUUAUUCUUGCUUAUUUAUUUAUUAUAACAUUGUUUUAUAUGUAAGUUUUUGCGGGUUAGGGUUUUGAAUUAUCUAAAUGGUAGUUAAUUUUAUUGGUAUUGUCGCAGUAUGAAAUAUUAUAAAUUUAAGUGAUUUUGAUUUAGCAAUUGUUAAUAAGUAUUGAUUAAACAUGUGCCAGCAGUCGCGGUUAUACAUGGAAUAUAAGUGAAUAUUUUCGGUUAAAUUAGUUAUUUUUAGGGUUUUGAAUUUAAAUUGAUCAUUUAUAAGGUGAAAUAAUAAAUGUUUGUUUUAAAAUUUAAUUAAUUAAAGUUGAUAAAUGAGGCUAUGAAAUCUAAAUUAUAUAAACUAGGAUUAGAUACCCUAUUAUUUUAGAUGUAAAUUAUUUAAACUUGAGUAGUAGUAGUUAAGGUCUUGAAACUUAAAGAAUUUGGCGGUAUUUUAGUCUAUUUAGAGGAAUCUGUUCCGUAAUCGAUAAUCCGCGUUGGACCUUACUUGAUUUAUUUAGUAUGUAUACCGCCGUUGUUUAAAAUCUUUACAGAGUUUUGUAAUUUUUAUAAUAUUUAUUAUAUAAUUUUUCAGGUCAAGGUGCAGUUUAUAAUCAAGUGGUGAUGGAUUACAAUAUUUUUAGGUAUAUGAAUUUUUACUUUUAAUUUAGUAAAAUGAAAGUGGAUUUAAUAGUAAUAUUAUGAAGAUUGUUAAUGUGAUUUUAGCUCUAAAAUAUGUACACAUCGCCCGUCGCUCUCGUUAUUUUAAGGUGAGAUAAGUCGUAACAUAGUAGUUGUACCGGAAGGUGUAACUAGAAUGUAU
rnacentral:ncRNA from 1 species